GACGAACGCUGGCGGCGUGCUUAACACAUGCAAGUCGAACGAAGUGGCGUACGGGUGAGUAACGCGUAAUCAAACUGCCCUUCCGAGGGGGACAACAGUUGGCAACGACUGCUAAUACCGCAUACUGAAGUAGGGGGUUGCGUCUGAUUAGCUAGUUGGAGGGGUAACGGACCACCAAGGCGAUGAGCAGUCGCCGGGCUGAGAGGAUGAACCGCCACAUUGGGACUGGGACACGGCCCAGACGCCUACGGGAGGCAGCAGAGGGGAAUCUUCCGCAAUGGACGAAAGUCUGACGAAGCAACGCCGCGUGAGGGAUGACGGCCUUCGGGUUGUAAAGCUCUGUUAAUCGGGACGCGGUACCGGAAUAGAAAGCCACGGCUAACUACGUGCCAGCAGCCGCGGUAAUAC
rnacentral:rRNA from 1 species